rnacentral:lncRNA from 1 species
GGGUGGAGUUGCUCUUAGUGAAUUAAAUUGGUAAUAUUAAAAAAAACAUGAUUGGUGGAGAUCAAACCUGAACCAAAGUAAAUAUUAUUGUUUUCCACUACUGCCGUUUCAAUUACCAUGCGGAAUUAGACCAUCUUCAAAAGAAAUGUCAAAAAUGUCAUAUAGACAUAUAUUGGUAACUAAUGACGUAUCAUUUACUCCAACCGAGAUGUCAAAGAUGAUAUGGAAAAUAAGGCUAAGCUGAUAUGAAUAAAGAAAUGUCAAAUUUGGAGCUUCCUUUAAAUUUAAUUUUUGCUAUUUCCCAAGGCAUUUCACUUGCCUUACCUUAAAUGCUAUCGUAUUUAAGUAUUAUUUUAUUAUUUUUAAACCAAUAACAAUCCAACUUUUAUUAUUUUUAUUUAAAAAAUAUAUAUAAAUGAAGCAAUAAGUUUUGACAUAUCAGGUGAAAGGAAAAUGUUGACGAUAUGUUAAAUUACCAAGUCAGCCUUCAAAUUUAAAUUUAAUAUUUUCUUUAAAGAUGCUCUUAAAAGUUCUAGCGGUGGCCUAAUGUCGGUUCUAUGUGAGCCCAAAAGGGACAACUAUAAUGCUCAAUUAGUCAAACCGUCCAUCCUCCAUCUCUGGCUAAUUUCAUCUUAAUUUCUUCUACCUCAUCAAUGUGACAGAUGGGUUAGAUGCUACGAAAUAAAGUUCGAGAAUAAAUUAGUUCAUAGCAUGAAUCAGAUGAAUUAACAACUGACUGUGCAACUAAUAAACCAGCAAUCACUUUCAGUACAUAAAAAAAAAAGAGAAAAUUUAAUUAGUAUUCUGUUCGAAGGUAAAUGCAUGUUUAAAACAUGCAAGUAAUUAGAUAUUCCAGCACUUAAUUCCUUCCCUGCAAGCAAAAAAUAAACUAGGAUACUUUGUAACGGGACGGAUUGGGUUUGGAUGUACCAUAUCCAUAUCCAUACCCAAACUCGUAGAAUUCCCGAACGGGUUUUCCCCAUAACCGAACCCGUCGAAUGACAGAUUUUUGAUCUGGGAACGGUUUUUCCCAUUAUAAUAUUUAUAUAUUUAUUUAUAUUAUUAACU